rnacentral:rRNA from 1 species
UCGCCNGNUUUUACAAAAACAUUUUUAUUAGAAAUUAAUAAUAAUAUGAUCUGCUCAAUGAACUUUAAAUAGCCGCAAUUUUAGUGCUAAGGUAGCAUAAUCAUUCGUUUUUUAAUUGAAGACUAGAACAAAAGAUUAAACAUUUUAAUUAUUUUAUUUUAAAUAUAAAUUAAAAUUUUCUAAAAUGUAAAAAGACAUUUAUAUCAUAGAAAGACGACAAGACCCUAUUGAAUUUUACUAAAGUUAAACUGGGGCAGUUAAAUAAUUAUUAUUUUAUUAAUAAUUAAAAAACAAAUAUCUACUAAUAUUAAUAAAAAGUUACCAUAGGGAUAACAGCAUAAUAAUUAUUUAAAGAUCUUAUAAAAAUAAAAUAUUAUGACCUCGAUGUUGAAUUAAUAUCCUAUAUUAUGCAAUAAUGAUAAGGAAGUCUGUUCGACUUUUAAAAAAUUACAUGAUCUGAGC